GGGGCUGUAGCUCAGUUGGGAGAGCGCUUGAAUGGCAUUCAAGAGGUCGUCGGUUCGAGCCCGAUCAGCUCCACAA
rnacentral:tRNA from 1 species